rnacentral:misc_RNA from 1 species
GCCCAAAGUCGGUUUAGCUAACUUCGGAAGCGACUGCCUAAGGCAGGAUUGGUGACUGGGGUGAAGUCGUAACAAGGUAUCCCUACGAGAACGUGGGGAUGGAUCACCUCCUUUCUACGGAGUACAAUUACAAUUUCAUUUUUGGCCUAAAAUCUUAAUACCUGAUAUUUAAAACUAAAUUAUUUAAAUAUCUCACGAGGGUACUAAGUCAGUGUGUUGGUGUAGCCAAAAGCACUCUAAUAUUCAGUUUUGAGGGAUUUACCUCAAAAAAAUAGAUCUUUGAAAACUGAAUAGCAUAUAAAUUAAUAUGAUAACGACAUCAAAAUAUAUUUUGUGAAAAUAAUUUUGAUCCGAGUUGUGUCUAUACAUGGGUAUAGACACUAUAAAUACCUUAAGAAUACAUCAAAACAAAAAAACAUUUUUUUUAAUAGGAAAAAAUAGUUACUUAUACUUUUAAAUAAGCAAGAGUUUGUAGUGG